rnacentral:lncRNA from 1 species
CACCAGUUCCUGAAGGUGGCCAAGCCUUUAUCCAGUCUGACUCCUCUCAUCCAGGCAGCCAAAGAAGCAGCUAAGGCUAACCGCUAACCUGCUAGCUGCUAACCCCACAGAUCACCCCUUCAUUCUCUCUCUCUCUCUCUCCUCUGUCGCUCUCCCCCACUGGGGCAAACAAGACCCAGACAGGGGGUGUUUCAGGGGGUCCCAUCCCCCUCAACCCCUUGACCGAUCACGGUGACUGUGGGAAGGACGCUCUUACUGAUGUCAUCGCUGGUACAAAUAUACUGAUCGGAUUGGAGGAGAGAUUCAGGCCCAAAGACUCAUGGGAGUUGUAGUUUCAGCAGGACAGUGGCUGUGGACUGGAUCUUAUCUGACCUUUGAACUGUCUGUUUGUUGAUGUCUGACUGUUAUUUUCAUGUGUUGAAAAAGUGCAUUUUAGUUUGAUCUUUUCUUAUGUGUUUUGUUUUGUGGAGAAGGGUUUGGUUGAAAGUGUAAUGAAGAGACACAAGGUUGUACUAUUGAUAUCAGCUCAGUCCCAAACUGCACCCUAUUCCCUACAUAGUGCACUACUUUUGUCAAAAAUAGGGUGCCAUUUGGGACGGUCUUUCACGUCUGAUCAAACGUUGGAAUUCUAUCUCCUUAUCUCUCCCUCUCUUUCUCUGUCUGGCAGAGUGAGAUGACACGCAUGACAAACCUUUUUUAUGGAAUGUCUAGAAUCAUAAUACAAUAGUGAUGAUAAUGAUGGUACAUGAAGGAUGCCUGUGUACAAUACAGUAUAGAAGAACAUAUCUAAAUCCUAUUUUCCAGUACAAUCGUUGCAGUACAAUGUUGAACUGAUCCUAGUCCCAACCCUCUGAAGAUAGUGUACAUUACAUGUGAAAAAACUGCUCUUAAAGAACCAGAAGAAUAUUGUCUGCAUUCUUUGUUUAGCAACAUGCUUUCUUUAUGCAGAUGGCGCUGAAGAAUACCACCGUACCAUUAAGAAGUAUACUUUCUACCAGACUGAUGAUGCUCAUUCUUGCUGAAUCGGCACGAGAGAGAGAGAGAAGAGAUGUGGAGGAAUGGCAGAGUGUGACAUCAUCAGUGACAUGGGCAAACAACCACAGGAGCAGAGGAGAGAAAACAAAGGAGAAAAACGGGGAGACCCAAGGAGAGAGUGAUCAAGACACAGGCUCAGAGUUUGGCUCUACUCAAGGGGAUGGUGUGUCUGCUCUCCUUCAUGUAAUAAUGUAUGUGGGUGUGUCUGCUCUCCUUCAUGUAAUAAUGUAUGUGGGUGUGUCUGCUCUCCUUCAUGUGGGUGUGUCUGCUCUCC